GGGGCUUUAGCUCAGCUGGGAGAGCGCAACACUGGCAGUGUUGAGGUCAGCGGUUCGAUCCCGCUCAGCUCCACCA
rnacentral:tRNA from 1 species